CCUACGGGAGGCAGCAGUGGGGAAUAUUGCACAAUGGGGGAAACCCUGAUGCAGCAACGCCGCGUGAGUGAAGAAGUAUUUCGGUAUGUAAAGCUCUAUCAGCAGGGAAGAAGAAAGACGGUACCUGACUAAGAAGCCCCGGCUAACUACGUGCCAGCAGCCGCGGUAAUACGUAGGGGGCAAGCGUUAUCCGGAUUUACUGGGUGUAAAGGGAGCGUAGACGGCUGUGCAAGUCUGAAGUGAAAGCCCGUGGCUCAACCGCGGAACUGCUUUGGAAACUGUAUAGCUUGAGUACUGGAGAGGCAGGCGGAAUUCCUAGUGUAGCGGUGAAAUGCGUAGAUAUUAGGAGGAACACCAGUGGCGAAGGCAGCCUGCCGGGGUGCGACUGACGCUGAGGCUCGAAGGUGCGGGUAUCAAACAGGAUUAGAUACCCCAGUAGUC
rnacentral:rRNA from 1 species